rfam:Nostoc sp. PCC 7120 DNA, complete genome.
AAAACUAAAUAUGCAAAGCCGGAGACAGCAGGUGCUAACAGCUUAAACACCCUGCCGAGGUAAAAGCUCUCUUACUCAAUGUGACGUGAAAAAUAAUGCGUCGCUUUAGUAAUCAGAGUCUUGAGACUAAACCCCGGCUGAGAUAGUCGGGGUUUAUUGUUGUACCC